AGCGAACGCUGGCGGCAGGCCUAACACAUGCAAGUCGAACGAAGUCUUCGGACUUAGUGGCGGACGGGUGAGUAACACGUGGGAACGUGCCUUUAGGUUCGGAAUAACUCAGGGAAACUUGUGCUAACACCGAAUGUGCCCUUCGGGGGAUAGAUUUAUCGCCUUUAGAGCGGCCCGCGUCUGAUUAGCUAGUUGGUGAGGUAAGGGCUCACCAAGGCUACGAUCAGUAGCUGGUCUGAGAGGAUGACCAGCCACAUUGGGACUGAGACACGGCCCAAACUCCUACGGGAGGCAGCAGUGGGGAAUCUUGCGCAAUGGGCGAAAGCCUGACGCAGCCAUGCCGCGUGGAUGAUGAAGGUCUUAGGAUUGUAAAAUCCUUUCACCGGUGAAGAAAAUGACUGUAGCCGGAGAAGAAGCCCCGGCUAACUUCGUGCCAGCCGCCGCGGUAAGAC
rnacentral:rRNA from 1 species